rnacentral:rRNA from 2 species
AGUUUGAUCCUGGCUCAGAACGAACGCUGGCGGCAGGCUUAACACAUGCAAGUCGAGCGCCCCGCAAGGGGAGCGGCAGACGGGUGAGUAACGCGUGGGAAUCUACCCAUCUCUACGGAACAACUCCGGGAAACUGGAGCUAAUACCGUAUACGUCCUUCGGGAGAAAGAUUUAUCGGAGAUGGAUGAGCCCGCGUUGGAUUAGCUAGUUGGUGGGGUAAUGGCCUACCAAGGCGACGAUCCAUAGCUGGUCUGAGAGGAUGAUCAGCCACACUGGGACUGAGACACGGCCCAGACUCCUACGGGAGGCAGCAGUGGGGAAUAUUGGACAAUGGGCGCAAGCCUGAUCCAGCCAUGCCGCGUGAGUGAUGAAGGCCCUAGGGUUGUAAAGCUCUUUCUAACGGUGAAGAUAAUGACGGUAACCGUAGAAGAAGCCCGCGAAUA